rnacentral:rRNA from 1 species
AGAGUUUGAUCAUGGCUCAGGACGAACGCUGGCGGCGCGCCUAACACAUGCAAGUCGAACGAGCGAGAGAGAGCUUGCUUUCUCAAGCGAGUGGCGAACGGGUGAGUAACGCGUGAGGAACCUGCCUCAAAGAGGGGGACAACAGUUGGAAACGACUGCUAAUACCGCAUAAGCCCACGGCUCGGCAUCGAGCAGAGGGAAAAGGAGCAAUCCGCUUUGAGAUGGCCUCGCGUCCGAUUAGCUAGUUGGUGAGGUAAUGGCCCACCAAGGCGACGAUCGGUAGCCGGACUGAGAGGUUGAACGGCCACAUUGGGACUGAGACACGGCCCAGACUCCUACGGGAGGCAGCAGUGGGGAAUAUUGCACAAUGGGGGAAACCCUGAUGCAGCGACGCCGCGUGGAGGAAGAAGGUCUUCGGAUUGUAAACUCCUGUUGUUGGGGAAGAUAAUGACGGUACCCAACAAGGAAGUGACGGCUAACUACGUGCCAGCAGCCGCGGUAAAACGUAGGUCACAAGCGUUGUCCGGAAUUACUGGGUGUAAAGGGAGCGCAGGCGGGAAGACAAGUUGGAAGUGAAAUCUACGGGCUCAACCCAUAAACUGCUUUCAAAACUGUUUUUCUUGAGUAGUGCAGAGGUAGGCGGAAUUCCCGGUGUAGCGGUGGAAUGCGUAGAUAUCGGGAGGAACACCAGUGGCGAAGGCGGCCUACUGGGCACCAACUGACGCUGAGGCUCGAAAGUGUGGGUAGCAAACAGGAUUAGAUACCCUGGUAGUCCACACCGUAAACGAUGAUUACUAGGUGUUGGAGGAUUGACCCCUUCAGUGCCGCAGUUAACACAAUAAGUAAUCCACCUGGGGAGUACGACCGCAAGGUUGAAACUCAAAGGAAUUGACGGGGGCCCGCACAAGCAGUGGAGUAUGUGGUUUAAUUCGACGCAACGCGAAGAACCUUACCAAGUCUUGACAUCCCUUGACGAUGCUGGAAACAGUGUUUCUCUUCGGAGCAAGGAGACAGGUGGUGCAUGGUUGUCGUCAGCUCGUGUCGUGAGAUGUUGGGUUAAGUCCCGCAACGAGCGCAACCCUUAUGGUCAGUUACUACGCAAGAGGACUCUGGCCAGACUGCCGUUGACAAAACGGAGGAAGGUGGGGAUGACGUCAAAUCAUCAUGCCCUUUAUGACUUGGGCUACACACGUACUACAAUGGCGUUAAACAAAGAGAAGC